rnacentral:rRNA from 1 species
CUUUUGCAUAUUUCAUUAGCUGAGGAAAAGGAAACCAACAGGGAUUGCCUCAGUAACGGCGAGUGAAGCGGCAAAAGCUCAAAUUUGAAAUCCCCCCGGGGAGUUGUAAUUUGAAGAUUGCGUCUUGGAGGCGACCGUGUCUAUGUUCCUUGGAACAGGACGUCACAGAGGGUGAGAAUCCCGUGCGGCACGGCCCCCGGCUCCUUAUAAGGCGCUCUCGACGAGUCGAGUUGUUUGGGAAUGCAGCUCAAAGUGGGUGGUAAAUUCCAUCUAAAGCUAAAUACAGGCGAGAGACCGAUAGCGAACAAGUACAGUGAUGGAAAGAUGAAAAGCACUUUGAAAAGAGAGUGAAACAGCACGUGAAAUUGUUGAAAGGGAAGGGCAUGCCGUCAGAUUGUCAGUGUGGGUAAGAAGCGGGGUACAAAGACUGUGGAACGUGGCCCUCGGGUGUUAUAGCCGCAGUUCAUGCCCCGUCUCUUUCCGAGGCCUGCUUUGAGGACACCGACGUAAUGACGGUACGCCGCCCGUCUUGAACCACCGGACCAAAAAGGA